rnacentral:rRNA from 1 species
AACGUAGGUGGCGAGCGUUAUCCGGAUUUACUGGGCGUAAAGGGUGUGCAGGCGGGCUGUUAAGGGGUGUAUGAAAUAUCCCGGCUCAACCGGGAGAGGUUAUGCCAGACUGGCAGUCUAGAGAGCGAGAGAGGGACGUGGAAUUCCGGGUGUAGUGGUGAAAUGCGCAGAUAUCAGGAGGAACACCGAUGGCGAAGGCAGGUCUCUGGGCAUUAACUGACGCUGAGGAGCGAAAGCAUGGGGAGCAAACAGG